AACUGAUCAUUUGGAUGAU
rnacentral:snRNA from 1 species